rnacentral:rRNA from 1 species
CAAAAACAUCUCUUUCUAAUGUAGAAGGUAGGCUCUGCUCAGUGAAUGAUUAAAUAGCCGCAGUAUCUUGACUGUGCUAAGGUAGCAUAAUAAUUUGUUCUAUAAUAGAGGACUGGAAUGAAUGAGUUGACGUUAUUUAAUCUUUUUUUGAAAAAAUUUAGAAUUUGAUAUUCUCGUCAAAAAGUGAGACUUUUUAAAGGGACGAUAAGACCCUAUAAAACUUUACUGAUGAAUUUUUGCAAAUUUUGGAGAGGUAAAGAGUAAAUUGGUUGAGCUGGGGCGGCAUGAAUUAUAUUCUUUUCUGGAAAAAACAAAAUUUUUGGAUUUAAAGAUCUUGGAUAAAGAUUUAGAAUAAGUUACUUUAGGGAUAACAGCAUAAUUUUUUCGUAUAGAUCUUAUAGAUGAAAAAGACUUAUGACCUCGAUGUUGAAUUGAGGGGCUUUCUUUAAGCAGCAGUAAAGAAAAGGGGUCUGUUCGACCUUUGAUUCCUCACGUGAUCUGAGU